CUCCUCGUACCCUCUGUACUUCGCCGGAAUCUCACCGCCGGCGAACACCACCUACGCCAUCGGCCACCAAAAUAAUACCACGAAACCUCAUUUUCUUCCUCGUCAUGAAUCUACCACCCGUUUCCUUCAAAUCCAGCCCUAGCUCGUCGAAUCUUCGAUCAAAGGUUUCCGGCCAAAACACAAAAUAACCCAAUCACCACCAAAUUAACACCACGUAACCUCACCUGGGCCUCCUCUACCCAACCCUCAUGGCCUUGUAUCUCGAAUAUGUCUGGAAAAACUCGAAUCUCAGAUCGAGGGUUUCUGACCAAAAACCUAAGGCAGGAUCUCCAUGAUUUCGGACCCUAACAACCCCAACCAGGUGUUUUCUUAUGAAAACACAUGGUUAGGGAUGUUAAGGGUCAGAAAUUUCGGGGAUGUGGAAAAACCACUGGCCGGAGCUCUUCGUGGUCAGUGGGUUCGUAUUGGUACACAAUUGAACUGUCCCAAUGUAGACUCUCCUGUCCAAUGAUGAAUUGAAAUUGAAGUUUCUGCUGCAGUUUUCUUCUUCUGUUAAAUUGUAUUAUGUUAUAAACAUAUCCUGUGACUUAGUGAACUGUACACUCUAAUCAAUUAUGGACUGUAUGCCUGGGCCAUUUCGAAAUGUAGCAUGUGUUCGUUUAGACUUGAUUUUAGUAUAAUAGGUACUGGACUCUGUGUAAUCAUAGUUCUGUUAAAAUAAAAUAAAAAAUCAAAAAUAGUUGGUAUUGCAAUAGUUAACAGACACCUAGUGAAUCGUUAAUUGAUUCAGGUUUUGCUAGGUUGAGUCCAGUCAGAUGUAUGUCCAUGUAGGUGUUUUGAUUGUUGAUCAAUAUUUGGAGUUGACAGUUAUAAUUGAGAAUGCUAAUUGUUAUGGAAAAGGCUAUGGAAAUCCUGCAGUUUUAUUUUGUUUAAAA